AUGUUUGUCUCCAGUACUUUUCUGGAAGAAACCAACAUUUUCUCGUUUAUCCGCGCAGAGGGGGCAGCGCUGAUGCCCCGUUCCGGCUGGAAUCCCGGGGCUGCCUGCCCUCCUGGCCCUGGCAGGGGCGCGGCAGUGCCAUUCGUGUCCCGCUGUCCCCGUCCUGCCCUUCCUGCAGCGCGCUGGGCGUGGGACGGGCGCCGAGAACGCCGUGGGAGCGCAGGAAGCGCCGAUCAGGGCCAGGCGAGCGGGGAUGGCCGGAGCCAGGACAUUCUGGGAAGCUCCCAAGGUUUGCAUCACACUUCUGCCACAGCUGACUUGGACCCUCUGGAGCUGGAAGCAAGGCUUGGUGCAGGCAGUGGCUCUGAAAAGCAUUCUGAGGAUUUCCAGUAACCAGGUGAUUGAAGCAGACUGAGCACCCUGACAGCAGGAAAGGCAGGUUAGUCUUCAGGAACCCCUACAAUUAUUUCACAGAACAAAUCCAAAUCCACAUUGUGAUUUGUCUGUACUGCAAAGUUCAUAUUUGGUUAUUGUAGGCACCACUCCUGGGACUUAAAAAUCAACCAGGAUUGCAUUUUAGUCUGAGUAUUAGAUGGACAUGGAAUUAAAACAGAGCAACUAUGUGCAGUUCUUUAAGUAAUUAAUGUAUAUAAAAUCUCAUUUCCAUACUGAUGCGUGGUUUGGUUUCUCUCAUCUCACUUUGAUCAGUGAAUUACCUCACAAUAAUCUCGUUUUCUUGGUUGUGAUUAGCAAUAACUCCUCCUUUGUUCUGUUCUGCAUCACUGUGUGUUCCCAGAACUUCUGAGAAAAGGAUCUUUUUCCCUGGAUUAGUCACGGUGUUUGGACAAACAUGGCCUUGUUUCCUCAAGAAAUGUAUCAGCACCACUGUGUUUAUUUCUCCACAGCCUUAACCAGCAGGAGGAUGGGGGAGCCCAGCUGAACAUUUGGAUGUAAAAAUCUGGUGAAAUCUCAGCUUUUCCAAAGCUCAGUGUGGGCAGUGUGGUGCUUUUCAUGAGUGUGGAGUGCCUGGCCAGUGUUGAUCCUGUACAAGCUCCAAGGGAAGGGUGAGAGCUGUGAGCUCAGCGUGCUUUGAUCCAUCCAGCAGCUGCCCAAGGGACUUCCAGACAUGCCAGGCCCCAGGAGCAGCUUGUGGAGAGGGCACAGAAUAAAAUUCCACAACUCUGGAGGCA
rnacentral:lncRNA from 1 species